GUGCCAGCAGCCGCGGUAAUACGGAGGGUGCGAGCGUUGUCCGGAAUCACUGGGCGUAAAGGGCGCGUAGGCGGUUGGGGAAGUCCGUGGUGAAAGCUCGUGGCUCAACUACGAGUCGGCCAUGGAUACUCCUUGACUUGAGCACUGUAGAGGCAGAUGGAAUUCCGGGUGUAGCGGUGGAAUGCGUAGAGAUCCGGAAGAACACCGGUGGCGAAGGCGGUCUGCUGGGCAGUAGCUGACGCUGAGGCGCGAUAGCGUGGGGAGCAAACAGGAUUAGAUACCCUGGUAGUCC
rnacentral:rRNA from 1 species